AACGGUGGGCGCUAGUUGUGCGAACCUUCCACGGUUUGUGCGACGCAGCUAACGCAUUAAGCGCCCCGCCUGGGGAGUACGAUCGCAAGAUUAAAACUCAAAGGAAUUGACGGGGCCCCGCACAAGCAGCGGAGCAUGCGGCUUAAUUCGACGCAACGCGAAGAACCUUACCAAGGCUUGACAUAUACAGGAAUAUGGCAGAGAUGUCAUAGCCGCAAGGUCUGUAUACAGGUGGUGCAUGGUUGUCGUCAGCUCGUGUCGUGAGAUGUUGGGUUAAGCCCCGCAACGAGCGCAACCCUCGUUCUGUGUUGCCAGCAUUUAGUUGGGGACUCACAGGAGACUGCCGGGGUUAACUCGGAGGAAGGUGGGGAUGACGUCAAAUCAUCAUGCCCCUUAUGUCUUGGGCUGCACGCAUGCUACAAUGGCUGGUACAAACGGCUGCGAUACCGCAAGGUGGAGCGAAUCCGAUAAAGCCAGUCUCAGUUCGGAUUGGGGUCUGCAACUCGACCCCAUGAAGUCGGAGUUGCUAGUAAUCGUAGAUCAGCAACGCUACGGUGAAUACGUUCCCGGGGCUUGUACACACCGCCCGUCACAUCACGAAAGUCGGUAACACCCAAAGUCAGUGGCCCAACCGCAAGGAGGGAGC
rnacentral:rRNA from 1 species